rnacentral:rRNA from 1 species
CUCUUGAAGUCUUAGUGGCGCAGCUAACGCACUAAGUAGACCGCCUGGGGAGUACGGCCGCAAGGUUAAAACUCAAAUGAAUUGACGGGGGCCCGCACAAGCGGUGGAGCAUGUGGUUUAAUUCGACGCAACGCGAAGAACCUUACCUGGCCUUGACAUGCAGAGAACUUUCCAGAGAUGGAUUGGUGCCUUCGGGAACUCUGACACAGGUGCUGCAUGGCCGUCGUCAGCUCGUGUCGUGAGAUGUUGGGUUAAGUCCCGUAACGAGCGCAACCCCUAUCCCUAGUUGCUAGCAGUUCGGCUGAGAACUCUAGGGAGACUGCCGGUGACAAACCGGAGGAAGGUGGGGAUGACGUCAGGUCAUCAUGGCCCUUACGGCCAGGGCUACACACGUGCUACAAUGGUGCGUACAGAGGGCUGCAAACCCGCGAGGGGGAGCUAAUCUCACAAAACGCAUCGUAGUCCGGAUCGGAGUCUGCAACUCGACUCCGUGAAGUCGGAAUCGCUGGUAAUCGCGAAUCAGAAUGUCGCGGUGAAUACGUUCCCGGGCCUUGUACACACCGCCCGUCACACCAUGGGAGUGGAUUGCACCAGAAGUGGUUAGUCUAACCUUCGGGAGGACGAU